UACGUAGGGUGCAAGCGUUGUCCGGAAUUAUUGGGCGUAAAGAGCGUGUAGGCGGCCAGGGAGGUCCGUUGUGAAAACUCGAGGCUCAACCUCGAGACGCCGAUGGAAACCCCCUGGCUAGAGUCCGGAAGAGGAGAAUGGAAUUCCUGGUGUAGCGGUGAAAUGCGCAGAUAUCAGGAAGAACACCCGUGGCUAAGGCGGUUCUCUAGUACGGUACUGACGCUGAGACGCGAAAGCGUGGGGAGCGAACAGG
rnacentral:rRNA from 1 species